UACGUAGGUGGCAAGCGUUGUCCGGAUUUACUGGGCGUAAAGAGCGCGCAGGCGGUCAGAUAAGUCGAAUGUGAAAGCCCCCGGCUCAACUGGGGAGGGUCAUUCGAUACUGUUCGACUCGAAGGCAGGAGAGGGAAGUGGAAUUCCCGGUGUAGGGGUGAAAUGCGUAGAUAUCGGGAGGAACACCAGUGGCGAAGGCGACUUCCUGGCCUGUUCUUGACGCUGAGGCGCGAAAGCUAGGGGAGCAAACGGG
rnacentral:rRNA from 1 species